AAAAUGGUUACGUACGGCUGUACGUUUCGUCACAUGUGGAAAUACUUCAGAAGAACAGUAAAGUUGUUGGUCAUGGUGAAGUUUGAGCUUCUUCAUUGCAUUCCAAAUGCGCUGUGCAGUGUGAUUUAUUGGAGACAGCUGGUGAAAGGUGUUGCUCUUGCAGGCUUCCUACCUGUACGAAAUGUAGCUUUUGUCACAUGCAGAAACACUUUAGAACAAUUUAAAGUUUCCAUGGCCAGUUUUAUGUUUGAGCUGUUUAUGGUGUUGCUGUUUGGAGUUCAGUGGUUUUGCAGUCAUUUUCCAGUUGAGAGGUGCACAGAGCUUGUGCAGGCUUGCAGUUGAACAUUAUACUUUAAUGUGUCAUUUGCCUAUGUUGGUGUCCAUGCAGUAUAUGCUUAUUUUAUCGGCAGAAUUUUGUCGAUAUGUCGACUAUUGCUACCUGUACCGCCGUUGAGUUGAUUUGUUUGCCGCGGUUCCUUAGACUUGAUCCACCGGUGAAACUAAGAAGACUUUUAAUAUGCAUAAAAUGGAACUGUGUGGAAUGCCAAGCAAGGAAGGAUUCUGUACACAGGUUUUCGAGUCAUCAUCAAAUUCGUGAAAGUGUGGAUUAAAUUGAACUUGUCGUCACUUGCUAUUCGUAGUCUGUCAGCAGCUAUCAGUGAGUCAGUCCAGGUCAGUGACUGGGAGAGGUGGUGAACAACCAAAACCAACAAAUGCCGAAAGUUCUUUCCUGCAGCUGUUUACUUUUUUAAUGGCCCAAAUUAAUAUCUCCAAAAUAUAUGAAGAGUUCAACCUGCAGACGGGCCGGGCAGUUUGCAUGUCCUUCACGCUUGAAGGUCGCGG
rnacentral:lncRNA from 1 species